rnacentral:rRNA from 1 species
AGCGAACGCUGGCGGCAUGCUUAACACAUGCAAGUCGCACGGAUCUUUCGGGAUCAGUGGCGGACGGGUGAGUAACGCGUAGGGAUCUAUCCAUGGGUGGGGUACAACUCCGGGAAACUGGAGCUAAUACCGCAUGAUACCUGAGGGGCUAAGGCGCAGGUCGCCUGUGGAGGAACCUGCGUUCGAUUGGCUAGUUGGUGGGGGACAGGCCUACCAAGGCUAUGAUCGAUAGCUGGUUUGAGAGGAUGAUAAGCCACACUGGGACUGAGACCCGGACCAGACUCCUAGGGGAGGCAGCGGUGGGGAGUAUUAGACAAUGGGCGAAAGCCUGAUCCAGCAAUGCCGGGUGUGUGAAGAAGGUCUUCGGAUUGUAAAGCACUCUCGACGGGGACGAUGAUGACGGUACCCGUAGAAGAAGCCCCGGCUAACUUCGUG